rnacentral:lncRNA from 10 species
CCGCCUUUUACUUUUAUAUACAAUAUUAGAGCUGAAAGGGCCUGAGUCUUCAAAUGUAGACAACAGAAGUUGUAAUUUGGCCAAGAUCACUUUAUCAGUGGCUUAACAGGCUGGAAUCCAAAUAUCCUAGGCCACACACCCACAUGCGUACUGCAUUUGACUUGAAUCUGUUAUCUAUUAUUUCUUAAUUGUCUAUGCAAUGGACCCACAGACUUUCACAUGUGAACACUUACUUUUUCUUGCUCUGGAUCAACUGAAAUUCAGACAAAUCUGAAAAGAAAUGACUUAAAUUGGAGUAUUUAUUUAAUCUAUGGAAAGUUCUGACAUCUUACUGAUAAUGAUGACAUAAUAAAGGGCACAACAAGCAUGUUUUAUUAAAAAGUUUCUAACGGACAGAUCAGUGCCAUUUCUAGUCACAGCUGCUUCUCACUGCCUGAGUCUCACCAAGGAGAGAAAUUUUUUGAGUUCAAGUUUAUUUCAAGUGUUAAGUGAAAUUUUAUUUUAGUGGAUUAGAGUAUUGCUUCCCGAAUGCGGUUUCAACUUGCAAAAUGUUAGAUCCUGAGGAAUGUGUGUGUGUGCAUGUGUGACAAGCCUUUCCUUGGAAGUAUUAUCCUUUAAUCUGGGAUUAUGUCCCUACUUAUUUUGGGGUUGAGAGGGAAAUGAGGAGGUGGGAGUUAAAAUGUCUUUCUUGUUAUGAAUAAUGGGUGAUAGCUUUAAAAAAUCUGGCAAAAAUGAAUGAUGGAUUUUUUUCAAAUCCAUAAAAUCAAAAGUUUGUAAACACAACUAAGUUAUGUCACCUUAUCUUUUUUUUUGAGACAGAGUCUCGCUCUGUCGCCCAGGCUGGAGUGCAAAGGCAUGGUCUUGGCUCACUGCAACCUCUACUUCCCGGAUUCAAGCAAUUCUCCUGCCUCAGCCUCUCCAGUAGCUGUGAUUACAGGUGCCCACCACCAUGCCCGGCUAAUUUUUGUAUUUUUAGUACAGAUGUGUUUCACCAUGUUGGCCAGGCUGGUCUCAAACUCUGACCUUGCUAUCCGCCCGCCUCAGCCUCCCAAAGUGUUGGGAUUACAGGUGUGAGCCACCACGCCCAGCCACAUUAUUUUAUUACUGUUCCCACAUAGUGAAUCUCAUUUUAGCAUAAAGUCAAUGUCCAUACAGAAGAGCACACACCCAACAUCCUCACCCUGAGUUCCACAUCAUUUCUAUAAUGGUCUCUUGCAUGCCACUUCAUUCUUCUUAGUCCCACCAUUUUCAUGACCAAAUGUGUGCCCCUCCAAUUCAACCUGUUUCUGACCACGGCCUCCAUCACUGACCUGUUUCUGACCAC